rnacentral:rRNA from 1 species
CCCGCACAAGCGGUGGAGCAUGUGGUUCAAUUCGACGCAACGCGAAGAACCUUACCUGGGCUUGACAUCCGCUGACAGUCCCGAAAACGGGAUCUUCCCCGCAAGGGGACAGCGAGACAGGUGCUGCAUGGCUGUCGUCAGCUCGUGUUGUGAAAUGUUGGGUUAAGUCCCGCAACGAGCGCAACCCUUAUCCUUUGUUGCCAGCGGUCCGGCCGGGAACUCAAAGGAGACUGCCAGUGAUAAACUGGAGGAAGGUGGGGAUGACGUCAAGUCAUCAUGGCCCUUACGACCAGGGCUACACACGUGCUACAAUGGCGCAUACAAAGAGAAGCGACCUCGCGAGAGCAAGCGGACCUCAUAAAGUGCGUCGUAGUCCGGAUUGGAGUCUGCAACUCGACUCCAUGAAGUCGGAAUCGCUAGUAAUCGUGGAUCAGAAUGCCACGGUGAAUACGUUCCCGGGCCUU